rnacentral:tmRNA from 1 species
GGGGGUGAAAGGGCUCGACUUAGACAAGGUCGGGUAAAAGUAGCAUGCCGCGGACGCAGGGUUGGCCGCGUUAACAAUCCUUGCAAAAAAUAAACGCAAACAGACUAGCGUCUGCAUCGGUAUUACCGCUUGGAACAGCAAUGCUCCCAGCGGGAGUACCGGCGUUUGCUGUCCUGCCUCACUAAAAAGGCAGGCCUCUGUUUAGACUGCCUGCGGUCUAAAUAAGAGCCGGAAAGCAGGCUAAUCCUGUAAGAUUUGCCUUUGGUAACAGGAUGAGAGAAUUUAAAGGCUGCUUCUGGGGAGAUUCUGGCUGCCGAAGCUCCCCGGAGUAAGUCUAAAAGACAGCCUAAGCAUGUAGCGACUUUUAUCUGAUUGCCUAAGGACGCGGGUUCGAUUCCCGCCACCUCCACCA